UCCAGGGUAGCCUAGUGGACAUGGCAUCUGCCCGGUAAGCGGAACAUUGUGGGUUCGAUUCCCGCCCCUGGAC